GACAGAGGUGCCGAGCGUUAGGCGGAAUCACUGGGCUUAAAGCGUGUGUAGGUGGGUCGUUAAGUACCUUGUGAAAUCCCCCGGCUCAACCGGGGAACGGCUGGGUAUACUGGCGAUCUUGAGCCACCUAGGGGCAGUCGGAACAAGUGGUGGAGCGGUGAAAUGCGUAGAUAUCACUUGGAACGCCAAUGGUGAAAACAGACUGCUGGGGGUGUGCUGACGCUGAGACACGAAAGCCAGGGGAGCAAACGGG
rnacentral:rRNA from 1 species